GCUUAACCGAAGAAGUGCAUCAGAUACUGGGAAACUUGAGUGCAGAAGAGGAAAGUGGAACUCCAUGUGUAGCGGUGAAAUGCGUAGAUAUAUGGAAGAACACCAGUGGCGAAGGCGGCUUUCUGGUCCGUAACUGACGCUGAGGCUCGAAAGUAUGGGGAGCGAACAGGAUUAGAUACCCUGGUAGUCCAUACCGUAAACGAUGAAUGCUAAGUGUUGGAGGGUUUCCGCCCUUCAGUGCUGCAGCUAACGCAUUAAGCAUUCCGCCUGGGGAGUACGACCGCAAGGUUGAAACUCAAAGGAAUUGACGGGGGCCCGCACAAGCGGUGGAGCAUGUGGUUUAAUUCGAAGCUACGCGAAGAACCUUACCAGGUCUUGACAUCUAGCGCCAGGCCUAGAGAUAGGACGUUCCCUUCGGGGACGCUAAGACAGGUGGUGCAUGGUUGUCGUCAGCUCGUGUCGUGAGAUGUUGGGUUAAGUCCCGCAACGAGCGCAACCCUUAUUAUCAGUUGCCAGCAUUCAGUUGGGCACUCUGGUGAGACUGCCGGUGACAAACCGGAGGAAGGUGGGGACGACGUCAAAUCAUCAUGCCCCUUAUGACCUGGGCUACACACGUGCUACAAUGGUCGGUACAACG
rnacentral:rRNA from 1 species